ACACACACACACACACACACACACACACACACACAGUUGUGGUGUUUGCAUAUGUGUUCUGUGUCACUGCUACACACACUCUAAGAGCUGUAGUGCUGAUCAGAGUGUGUUCAGUCCUUUCAGAGCCACUGACACGCAGCACAAUGAUGAUGGUACUGAGUCUCCUGCUGGGGACACUGGGACUCCUCGCUCACCAGUCUUUUGGGGAAAUCGUCCUGACUCAGUCUCCAGGAUCUCAGUCUGUUUCUCCAGGAGAAUCUGUUACUCUCACCUGUAGUACCAGUCAGAGUGUUAGCAGUUGGCUCAACUGAUACCUGCAGAAUCCUGGAGAAGCUCCUAAACUCCUGAUCUAUGCUGCAACUACUCGUCAGUCUGGGAUUCCAGAUCGUUUCAGUGGCAGUGGAUCUGGAACACAGUAUAGUCUAAAAAUCUCUGGAGUUCAGUCUGAAGAUGCAGGAGAUUAUUAUUGUUAGCAGGGUUACA